UAAAAGUGCUUGCGGAAAUUGUGGGCGAAACAUAAGUAUAUCAGGCGGCAAAGUGACAGGACGUCACUUUGAGCAUCAACCGAGACAGGAUGUCGAGUGUUGUGCGACGCCUGAAAUACUUAUGUGAGCCAUACUAUUUCCAGCAAGCACUUUGU
rfam:[Clostridium] termitidis CT1112 Ct_contig00034, whole genome shotgun sequence.